rnacentral:lncRNA from 1 species
GGGACUGGGAGAUGGGAGGAGGGACUUUGGCUGUGUUUUCCUGUCCUCUUAAUGUGGCUCCAGCAGUGGCAGUCAGCUACCAUCAGGGUCCCACAAUCCCCUCCUUGGAAGAACCCACCCUGGGUCGCUCCUUUCUCCCCAGGCCCAGGGUGAAGAUGUGCACCAGCGGCUUGAGUGACAUCGCCUCUGAGUGUAGAGCCACCAUUCCUGACUGGACCCCAGCCUUGGCUCCUGUGAGCAAGUCACAGCCGUGUGCAGCCAGGAACCCUCGGAAACACAAUCCAUGCUCCUCAGGCUCAGACCCCAUGUGCUUCCUGGCCACAGAGAAACCUCGCCUGACCAGGCUUCCCUUCAGCCCACCAUCGAUAGGCUAUGAGACCAGUGAGGAGGCUGAUGUAGAUGCCAGAAUUGGUGGUAAUGGAGGUCGUGAGAAGUAGUUGGGCUGGAGAUAAGUUUGAAGGCAGAAGACCAUAAACCAGAUGAAAUAGACACAGGGUAGGUUAGUCCUUAUAUUCAAUCAUUAGUAUGAUUCAUUCAUUCAUUCAUUCACUCACCCUGGUGAAUUCUUACUGUUGUCUGGUCUCCUUCCAUGGAUAAACUGGACACCAGGAAUGUGUUAGGGCUCCAGUUUCCCUAUGUGCCUCACCAACACUUGUCCUCACUUAUCUUUUUCAUUAUAGUCUUCCUAGUGGGUGUGUGAAGCAAUGCGUCCCUGUAGUUUUGAUUUACAUUUUCCUAAUGACUAAUGACAUUAAUGACUCACCAUUUGAACAUCUUUGGAGAAAUGUCUGUUUAGAAUUUUUUCCAUUUUAUUUAUUUAUUUAUUUAUUUAUUUAUUUAUACUG